GACGGACGCUGGCGGCGUGCUUAACACAUGCAAGUCGAACGGAAAGGCCCCAGCUUGCUGGGGUACUCGAGUGGCGAACGGGUGAGUAACACGUGGGUGAUCUGCCCUGCACUCUGGGAUAAGCCUGGGAAACUGGGUCUAAUACCGGAUAGGACCGUGCUUUAGUGUGUGCGGUGGAAAGUUUUUCGGUGCAGGAUGAGCCCGCGGCCUAUCAGCUUGUUGGUGGGGUAAUGGCCUACCAAGGCGGCGACGGGUAGCCGGCCUGAGAGGGUGUACGGCCACAUUGGGACUGAGACACGGCCCAGACUCCUACGGGAGGCAGCAGUGGAGAAUAUUGCACAAUGGGCGCAAGCCUGAUGCAGCGACGCCGCGUGGGGGAUGACGGCCUUCGGGUUGUAAACCCCUUUCGGCAGGGACGAAGCUUUUGUGACGGUACCUGCAUAAGAAGCACCGGCUAACUACGUG
rnacentral:rRNA from 1 species